UCCCAUCGUGCCGACCUCGCUGCGGUCCAGGAUCGGAGGUUGACUCUGCCGCUUCGUCGGGCAAGUCCCAUGCGAUGAGCGCGCUUUCACCUCCACAACCCCAUCCUCUUAUGCCUCGAUCCGCCCCCGUUCUUCUCGUCGACACCGCCUCCGGUGACGGCACGCCAAGUCGCCAACCCCCGUGCUGCCGCCUCGGUCCACCAUUAGUAACCACCACGCCUCCUCAACGGGUGGGCGAUGGCUCGUUCAACCAUUACUCCUCUCCAGCGAAUCCACUCUUAGCUCCUGUGUCUGGCAGACUGGCGUCGUUCCCGUGUUGCUCCGUGCAUCUAGGCAGUCAACGUGGGACUUGCACGUGACCUAGGAUGAGGGCCUCGACACCGUUGGGUUCGUCGAGGACCUGGCUGUGGGGUUACACUUCCGCAGCGCCAUUGCCCAGCAGAGCUAAGGGGAAGCGCCGAUAAGUGUCAAUUUUCCCAGCAUCCCUCACCUCUCCUCUACUAGGUUCUGAUGAUGUAUGGAGUUCUUUGCGAGCUGGGCUGUCACGGCUUCAUCAAUUAAUUUACGCAGGCAGGUAUAAAAUUUCACGAGCUCUGAUAGCCACUUUGGUUUAUUGGUGAGCUGCUAACGGUUCAAUCCAGUGAACAACAUGGGCAUUGCUUUUGCUUUCAAUUAGCCAAAAUAAGCUGUCUGCAGUCAAGCUUUUGUCUUCACUUUAGAAAUCGAAGUCAGCCUUUUGUUUGUUUGUUGAAACUCCUGUAUGUACCUCAUUUUUUUAGUGUUGUGUGUGAAAUAGAACCAUUGGGGUCAUUUUACCAAGUGGAUCUCUGAGAUGAAGUGAGAAUUUGCUCAAGUAAUAUACAACAGGAGGCACAAAGACAUGGUGAUA